ACCAGCAGCCAUAUCACCCUGCAACUCACAACUAGCAACCCACUGAAGCACACCAGGUGUGAGCCUGGUCAGUACCUGGAUGGGAGACCUCCUGGGAAAAACUAAGGGUGCUGCUUGAA
rnacentral:rRNA from 1 species